ensembl:lncRNA
CUGGAAUCUGCGCUCGCACAGGGCUGACGUCACGCCUUGCUAGAAGUACUGAUCCCACCUGUUCUAUUUCCCAGCCCCUCUCCCCUCCUCCCUAUAGCAGCAGCAGAACUGGAGCAGACAAAGCUGGGUCGGGCACUUGAUGACAGAAUAGAAUCAUGGAAUCACAAGAUCCUUUGGGUUGGAAGUGGCUUUGAAGUUCAUCCCAUUCCACCCCUCUUCCCCUCUCCCAGGCUGCUCCAAGCCCCAUCCAACCUGGCCUCAGACACUUCCAAGGAUGGGGCAGCCACAGCUUCUCUGGGAAACCUGUGUGCCAGGACCUCACCACUCCUAUCAAACCUUCUUCAAGAUCAGACUUUAUCAACUAUUAUUUUUUUCUCACCAGGAUGAUUUCCAGCUGGAUCAUCUCUCAAGCCUGACUGCUGAGGAACAGCAGGAGGAGCAGCUGAGAUGCCCCCACAGCGGAUCUGUCACCCAAAGGAGAGGUAUCCCCUUAAAUCCAGGUAUUUCCUGCUGCCCGUGCUGUACCCUAAUCACAAAGCAGUGGGUUCAUCUCUUCCUGAAGGCUGAGCCAGAUGCUGCCUGUGAUUCCACCGUGCUCAGAAACCUCAGAGAUUUCAGUGCAGAAGUGUCCAGCUUCCCUUCCCCCAUGAAAUACCUGCAGGUCCCUGAUCCAGCUCUCAUUCUCCAGCUAAAAACCUGCAGUUCCCAGCUCCAGCUGUCCCUCUCCUGUGAAAUACCUGUGAUUCCCUGUCUUGGCAGAGCUCAGCUGCUGGAUCUGCUCCCUCCAAACCAGGCUGGAACACGUCAAACAGGAACAUUAACUGCUUUUCCAGCUGUCUGGAGCUCUGGAUCCAUAAAACACGCACUGAUGUUAAACCUCCCCACCUCACCAAGGAGAUGCCAGUGAUGCUGGGAUUCCUGGGUUGUUUUUUGGGGUUUUUUGAAAUGAUUUUUAGAGCUUGGAGGAAAUCCCUGCCAGGGGUGAUUUUUUUUCUGCAGGAGCUGCAAUGUGGAGCUGCUCCCCAGGCUGGCUGGGUGUCACUCCUUGGCAAAGGUAGGACAAGGCAAGUGGGACCACUGCCAGCAGCAGCUGCAGCAGGUGCCACCCUGGAGGGGUGGUGUCACAGAACCCCAGAGUGCUGUGGGUUGGAAGGGACCUUACAGAUCAUCCAGUUCCACCCCCUGCCAUGGGUUGAGACACCUUCCACCAUCCCAGUCUGCUCCAAGCCCCAUCCAGCCUGGUCUUGGGCACUUCCAGGGAUCCUGGGGCAGCCUAGCUUCUCUAGGAAAACCAUUCCAAGGCCUCUUCAUCCUCACAGACUCCAGAUGGGGAGAUGGAACAGCCCCAAACCUUGGACUCAGAUCUGUCUGUUCCCUGCAGCAGCACUGAGAGGCCUGAGGAACCCAGUCCAUAGCAGUUGGUCCCAAUUUUGGGUGGAAUGGGACAUUAACUGGGCCGGUCUGAAACCAAUUUGAGUCCAUCUUUGAACCUGAUUCCUCUCUGAGAUUGUUUGGGAUAGACCUGAUCCUAAAGGGAGCAGCAGACCAAGCAGACUAAACAUGCAAUAUUAAAUAGCAAGUGCUAAUAUGAGAGCCAUUAAACACGAGCCCUC